rnacentral:rRNA from 1 species
GACGAACGCUGGCGGCGUGCUUAACACAUGCAAGUCGAACGGAAAGGCCCUGCGUUUGUGGGGUGCUCGAGUGGCGAACGGGUGAGUAACACGUGAGUAACCUGCCCUUGACUUUGGGAUAACUUCAGGAAACUGGGGCUAAUACCGGAUAGGAGCUCCUGCUGCAUGGUGGGGGUUGGAAAGUUUCGGCGGUUGGGGAUGGACUCGCGGCUUAUCAGCUUGUUGGUGGGGUAGUGGCUUACCAAGGGUUUGACGGGUAGCCGGCCUGAGAGGGUGAACGGCCACAUUGGGACUGAGAUACGGACCAGACUCCUACGGGAGGCAGCAGUGGGGAGUCUUGCACAACGGGCGGAAGCCUGAUGCAGCAACGCCGCGUGCGGGAUGACGGCCUUCGGGUUGUAAACCGCUUUCGCCUGUGCCGAAGCGUGCGUGACGGUAAUGGGUAAAGAAGCACCGGCUAACUACGUG